AUGAACCGUGAGGAGCUCCCUAUGAGAAACAGUCAGGAACAGGCUGAGAGCCUGUGGGUUAGGAUUAGAGAUGGGACUAAUAAAGGUCAGCUGGUAUUAGGGGUAUACUACAGGCCACCUGAUCAAGGGGAGGCUGUUGACGAGGCUUUCUUGCUCCAGAUGCGUGAGGCGUCUGGCUCACGGGCUCUUGUCCUGGUCGGGAACUUCAACCAUCCGAACAUCUGUUGGGAAAACCACACAGCGAACUGCAAGAGCUCCAGAAGGCUCUUGGAAUCCAUUGAUGAUAGCUUUCUGGUUCAGGUAUUGGACAGACCGACCAGAGGUGAAGUGUUGCUGGACCUGCUGCUCACCAACGCUGAGGAGAUCACCAAAGGCGUCAAGGUUGGAGGCUGCCUGGGCUCCAGCGACCAUGCCCUGGUUGAGUUUGUAAUCUCAAGCGAUGUGGGCCUAGCAAAGAGCAGGAUCAGGACACUGAACUUUAGAAGAGCAGACUUCAAGCUACUCAAUGGAAUGCUGGCCAAGAUUCCCUGGCAUGAUGCCCUCAGAGACAAGGAUGUUGAGGAGAACUGGCUGCUCUUCAAGGAUGCCCUCCUGGAAGCACAAGAGGUCUCAAUUCCUCUGAAUAAGAAAGUGGGCAGGCAAGGUAGGAAACCGGCAUGGCUCAGCAAGGUCCUGCUGAGAGAACUGAGGGCAAAGAAAGGGGUGUACAAGCUCUGGAAACAAGGCUGUGUCACCUGGGAAGAAUACAGGGAUGCCGUCCGGACUUGCAGACGUGGGAUCAGGGAAGCCAAGGCACAGGCAGAACUGAACUUGGCGAGGGACGUGAAAAACAAUAAGAAAACCUUCUACAGGUACAUUGGCCAGAAGAGACAGGCCAAAACGGGCGUACCUACUGUGGUAAAUUUAAAAGGAGAAGAGAAAGCUGAGGUGCUGAAUGAGUUCUUCACCUUGGUCUUCACUGGUGGCCAGGAUUCUAGUCUUUUUCAUGUCCCUAAGCCCUGCAUCCCCAAACCUCUAUGUGGGGAUAAAGGAGGUAAAUCCCUCCCCACUGUAAGGGCAGACCAAGUCCAAGAGUGCCUCCUUAGAUUGAAUGAGUACAAGCCUAUGGGGCCAGAUGGCGUGCAUCCCAGGGUCCUGAAGGAGCUGGUUGAGGUGGUUGCCGAGCCACUCUCCAUCAUCUUUGAGAAGUCGUGGCUGUCAGGUGAGGUCUCGGAUGACUGGAGGAAGGGUCACGUCACUCCCAUAUACAAGAAGGGGAGCAGGGAGGACCUGGGGAACUAUAGGCCGGUAAAUCUUUAA
rnacentral:lncRNA from 1 species